UACGUAGGGACCAAGCGUUGUUCGGAUUUACUGGGCGUAAAGGGCGCGUAGGCGGCAAUUCAAGUCAUCUGUGAAAUCUCCGGGCUUAACCCGGAACGGUCAGAUGAUACUGCUUGCUAGAGUGCGGAAGGGGCAAUCGGAAUUCUUGGUGUAGCGGUGAAAUGCGUACGAUAUCAAGAGGAACACCUGAGGUGAAGACGGGUUGCUGGGCCGACACUGACGCUGAUAAGCGCGAAAGCCAGGGAGCAAACGGG
rnacentral:rRNA from 1 species